rnacentral:lncRNA from 1 species
ACUCACUAAAGCUUUGAUCUAAUCCAGCUCAGCUAGAACAGGCAGCUGCCACAGGGAUUGGGCUCACCCAACAGCAAGCCCUCAGGCAACUUGUGGGCCUACAUAGGCUGGGUGCCUGGAUCCUCAGCAGGCAGAGCCCUGCAGGGUUACUCUGAGAGCCAGCCUCUCCGGGAAGUGGAGUCCGUUGCCACAGAGCCACCUGCAAGUGACUGAUCAAUGUGGGCCUGGGGUGGCCUCUCAAGGCCAUUCUCAUCCCAGGGUACUCCACAGGCACCUGGAUGUGGAGCAAGGAAUCCAGCUUGAUAAAGAACAGACCUCUGCUCUGAACUCCAUCUGCCUUCCCAGCCUCCCCAGAAGUCCAGCAGAGCCUCACACCUUCCCGUUGCGCAAAUCUGCUCUUGCUGCCGUAGUCCCUGUGGUACUGUGAUACGAUAAGAAAUAUAUAUUCGGUCUUUGUCUUGGUUCCUGGCGCAAGAGCUCCCAAAGCCCUUGCAAUUUCCUGAUAAGGGGGAGAGGAGCAUCUUUUGCUAUUCAUAAUAAGCCCCUUUCAACCGUACCUAAGUCUAUGCUAAUAAGGUGACUCUUGGAAGAGGGGGUCUGGUUGCCAGAAGAAUGAAGCUUGAGAUUAGGGCUUGGAACCUUCAGCUCCACUCCCAGACCUCCAGGGAGGGGAGAGGGGUUGGAGAUGAGUUCAAUCAUCAAGGGCAAUGAUUUAAUCAAUCAUGUCUACAUAAUGGAACUUCCAUAAAAACCCUAAACAACGGCUUCUGGAGAGCUUCUGGGUGGUGAACACAUCAAGGUCCUGGGAGGGCGGCGCAUCUGCAGAAGGCGUGGAGGCUCCUCUGCCCCUCCCCCCCACAGCUUGCUGGUGUAUCUCUUUCAUUUGGCUGUUUCUGAGUUGUAUGCUUUAUAACAAGCUGGUAAAUAGAAGUAAACUGUUUUCCUGAGUUCUGUGAGCCAUUCUAGCAGAUUGUUGAACCUGAGGAGGAAGUUGUGGGAGCCCCUAAUUUAUAGCCAGUCAGGCAGAAGUGUGGGAGGCCUGAGACUUGCAAUUGGCAUCUGAAGUGGAGGCAGUCUUGUGGCACUGAGCCCUUGACUUGAGGGAUCUGACCUAAUUCCAGGUAGAUAGUGUCAGGAUUGAAUUGUAUCCGGAAAGUUGGAGAAUUGGCUGGUGGAAGAAAAAAACUCACACAUUUGGUAUCAGAAGUGUUGUGAGUAGAAACCAUUCAGAGUCUCUAUUUCAGUUAAUGGCAGCUCUCCACCUGAGGACCUCUGCCAGACACCUGUAAAUCGUCCCUGCCCUCUCUACUUCUCCUACCCCACACAUCCCGCAAAUGCCCGAGUCUGUAGAUUCCACCUUCCUCAGCUGUGAAUGCCUCCAGUUUUGUGCAUCUUCAUUCUCUUCAUCCUGGUCCAACCCUGGCCUCACUGGACCACUUCAGAAGCCUCCCUGAAGAGUGCUAAGCAGUGUUUAAAACUGGCAUUUCAGAGAGAUGGGUUUCUAGAUAGGUGUGGAGGAUGGCCUGGAGGCCAGUGAGAAUAGAUACAAGGAUCGUUUCAGUGGUCCAUUCCUUCACUUGUUCAUUAACGCCAUGAAUUCACAGUGAGCUCCUGCUGUGGGCGGAGGUCCAGGAGGGAACGGGGCUGCAGAGAGGGAACAGGGUCAAUCAUCCACAUAUAGAAGGUGGUGAUGGAGGACGUGAGAGCACCAGACAGGGCACAAGGGAGAAGAGGCUGAGGGCAGAGCCCGUGAGGGAUGCAUAGAGGAGAGGAACUGGGGAAGGAGAGCGAGCAGGAGCAGAUAGCCAGCCGGGCAGAGGCAGUCCAGGCUCUGCAGGGCUGUGAAUGCUGGAGGAGUAGGGGGUCGCGAGAAUCUAUGCCGCUGGGGAUCCAGGAUGGUCAGAUGGAAGUCAGCAACGAGGAGGUGAGGUACAUCUCUUCCAUUUGGCUGUUCCUACAUUGCUCCUUUGUAACAAACCUGUAAAUGGAAGUAGCAGAGCAGACUGCGGUGGCUGGAGGACUGAAUGGGAGGUGAAAAAGUGCGCAGGGAGGGUGACUGGGAGCAAGAGAGCUGAUUGUUAAAUUUUCAGGAAUUUUGUGAGCCAGUUGUCAAACAUAGCCAGUAUUAAAAAUUAAAAUACAUAAAUUUACACUUAAAUAGAUUAUAUUGAAAACAAAGGUAAUAAAUACUCAAAACUCACCCCUUCCUAUUUUACUACAUUUUACUAACAGCUAUUCUCUUGAGGUUGUUUACAUCUGUUGUGUCUGUGUGGUGAGGAGAUUAUACUCGAUGACGCACUUCUGUGCAUGUCUUCUGGCUCUGCAUUUAGUGACAUCACACUGGUAGCUUGAAAUUGGCCGUGAAGGGAGUAUUUACACCACAGAAAUCAGCAAAUCAGAGCUUUGUAUAUUCCCAGAGAGCCAGUUGUUAAACAUUUACCAGCAUACCGCUGGAGGACUGAGAUCAGAACACUUACAGAGUGAGAGUAAUACUGCCAUUUUCACAAGCAGGAAGGAGAUAGAGAUAGCUGCAAACACAGAUAGGUUUGUGGGAUGCGUGGUGGGGAAAUGGGGACAUUUUUUUCUGAUGACUUCCAUGUUUCUCCGUUAACUGGGGGUGAAGUCAGCUGCUGAAUGUGAGGGAGCCAAAAAAGAAAGCAGCACAGAACCAUAGAUCCAAACCAGAAGGUCUAGAAGAGAAAGAGCUCGCACACAGAGAGCAGAGCAGGCAGGGGCCCCACGCCCUCAGGAGGGGUGAAAUUGGAGUGGUGGGAGAAAGUGAGGUAGUAAACUGCGUGGGAGAGACGCAAGGGGCAGGGAGAAGUAUUUGAAUGGAAGAUUUCAGAGCAGCCCAUUUUGAAAGUCUUUGAGAGCUGACCACUUGCAGGCACCGAGCUGAAGACAAUGGACACACUAGUGACUGAGACAGGCACAGUCUUCAUCUUCCAGCAUUCUGGUGAGGAAGACAAGCAAUAAGUAAAGAAAGAUAACAAUUACAGAAUUGUGGUAAGCACUAUGAAGGAAAUAAAAGGAUGCUGUGACACCAAGUAAUACGGUGUUACUUUUCAUAGGGUGAUGGCUGGAAACAGAACUGAAGAUUAGAAAGGAGAAAUCCAUUUGAAUGGCCUUUUUGUUUGUUUGAAGGUGAAUAAGAGUAUAGAAAUAAAAAGUAACUCUUCCUUCCCAUCCCUGAAGCCAGACACCAGUUCCUCUCUCCAGAAGCAGCUAUGGUCUAUUGCAUCCAUUUCCAGAAAUACUCUGGGAACAAGCCAUUUGAAGAGCUGGGGUAAAGACCAGUAUGUGCAACAGUCCUGAGGUAGAAAGAGUUUCAUGUGUUCUAAUCUACAGUAGAGCUUCUCAAACUUUAAUGUGCAUACAAAUCACCUGGCGAUCUUGUAGAAAUCCUGAUUCUGUUUCAGUAUGUCUGGGACCUGAGAUUUCUAAUAACCUCCAGGUAAUGCUGAGGCUGCUUAUGCAGAGAUUUCACUUAAGAGUAGUAAAGUCCUAGGGGACCAUUAGAGGCCAGUCUGGCCAGAAUGUCAUGAGAGAGAGGAAAAUGGGUCAAGAUGGGGUUGGAGAGGUGGUGGGGCAUGGGGUACAAUAAGAAGCUUGGAUAUUAUUCUAAGUGUAACAGGAACCCGCUGAAGGAUUUUAUGCAGACUAGGAAUGGAAGUGCCACUACAUGAUCUAAUUUUUGUUUCUAAAUUGCUCUAGCUGCUGUUUGGGUAGGCAAAGUGACAGUGGGGAGACCCAUCCAGAGGCCAUUGUACACAUGUCAUCCAGAGAUGAUGGUGACUGGACCAGUGUGGUGACCGAAAAGAUGGAUAGAAGGAAGCAGACUCCAGAUGCAUUUUGAAGGUGAAGCUGAAAGAACCUCCCAACAACAGAUUGGAUACGCGGAGUGAAGGGAAGGGAGGAAUCAAGGAUGCCUCUUGGGGUUUUGUCUCAAGCAACUGAGUGGCUGUGUUGCCAUUUACUGAGAUGGAAGGAGGAGCAGUGAAGGGAGGAGAAGAGUGUGAGGAGCCUGAGCUUCACAAAAUGGAGAUGUCAAGGAGAUAGAUCUGUGAGCCUGGUGCUCAGAGGAGGGUCUUGGCUUGAGAUAAAAACCGGGACAUGUCAAAAUCAACAGUUCUUAAGGCUGUGGGAAUGGAAGACCCCAGCUAGGAAAGGGUGUGGAUAGAGGAGAGCAGAAGCUCUAGGACAAACCCUGAAGGACACUAAUGUUCAGAGACUGGGUAGAAAGAAUGAGCAGCCAGAGGCGAGAGGCGAGAGACAGCAGGCAUCCACUGUCAUCAGAGGUUUGAAAUAGGAAAGGCUCGGCAGGUCUAAGGAUGAAAAGCACUGCAUUUUACCUUUUUCUCUUCUGGCAUUCAUGGAAUCACUUUAAAAGAGCAAAGAAGGGCAGGGUGUCUUCCUAUUAAAUAUGGGGACCACGAGGACCCUCUGCUAUGUUCUUAGUGGACAUCACAGAUGUGGAAGAGACACGGCCUUUGGAAUCAGAUUUGUUUCUGUUUCCCAGAUCUGCAAUUUAAUAUAUGUGAACCUGGAACCAGAGCCAACUGGAAGCAGCUGAUGCCAUAGAACCUGUCAUAGGUAGGCAAAAGGACAGAAGGGAGAGGAGACUGCCCAGUAGUCCCAGGCAGGUUUCCAAGAGGCAAAGAAUCCUUCAGAGACGAGUAGGAGCUUAGCAUGACCAGCUCCUCCGAAGCCACUCUGUGCCAUCCCGCCCUCUUCAUCUUUGUUCAGGUGUCUCUGUCUGUUCUCUGAACGUUGCCAACCUAGUUUUUAAAAAUGCGGCUUCAUCAAGCUCUACUACACGUAUCAUACAAUUUACCCAUUUAAAGUGUUCGGUGCAAUGGCUUUCAAUAUUUUCAGAGUUGAGAAUCCAUCACCACAAUCAUUAGAACAGUGUCAUCGCCUCAGAAAGAAACCCACAUCCCUUAGCCAUUGUACCCCAAUCCUCCCACUCACCCUCUCCGAGCCCUAGGCAGCCACCAGUCCACUUUCUGUCUUUCCAGAUUUGCCUGUUCUGGACAUUUCAUAUAAAUGGAAUCAUACAAUAUGAGGUCCUUUGUUACUGGCUUGUUUCACUUAACAUAAUGCUUUCAAGACCUGGUUGUAGAGUAAAUAAAAAAUGGUUAAGGAUCAAUAUACAGUAUUUGGCAUAAAGUAGAGAUGCUCAAUAAGUACUUAUUGAAUUGGAAUUGAUCAUCAAUGAUUGCCCUGAAUCAUCAAGAAAAGGCUACAUUAUACACAUCACAUUCUUUAAGAAAAUAGAGAAAUGAAUGUUACCUUUUUGAAAAUUUUCCAUUGAAAAUAGAUAAAAACAUAAAGUUAGUGCUUAAAGGUCUCUCAACUGCUGGAAACUUAGCUUUCUAGAGUGACUUGUUCUUGGGAACUCAAGAUAGUGGAUGUUGUACUAUGCUGUGUGUCAUACGGUACUGUGCUUAGCUUGUUCUUUAUCAUUAAAGGUACUUGAUACUACCAAACUUCAUUCCAUAUGUGUGUGACUACUGAUUUCUAAGUUUCUCUCUCCUAUCUCAGAUGGUUAGUUAGCAUGUUAGUGGGUUCUAACCCCAUGCUGGGUCAUCUCUUAGAUUCAUUUAUUCAUGCACCAUCUUCUAUCAUCACUGAUGAAAAUUUAAGAUAUACUGGCCUGAGACCAGCGCUUGAAAACACUCUCUGGAUGUUUUCUAAUAUGGACACUUUGACCACAUUCUUCUGGUUUUUUGAGUUGUUUGUGUGGGAUGAGUUUAACCUCUUGCUUAAGUUAAGAUAUAUCAUGUAAACAAGAGCCUUU